rnacentral:tRNA from 1 species
CAAAAAGUAGCUUAAAACAAAGCAUCCGGCUUACACCCAGAAGAUAUCACCACCAAUCUUUUUGA